rnacentral:misc_RNA from 1 species
AAUGUCGUAACAAGGUUUCCGUAGGUGAACCUGCGGAAGGAUCAUUAAAAUGUGUUGGUUAUACAUUUCAUGUAUCAACUCAUUAACCCAUUCCGAUACCUUGCCUGUUGCUUCCAUGGGGCCCGACUGGUCACUCUUGUGAUGUGAAAUUCCAGGGAGUCCCCCAUGGGAGGUAAUCAUAAAUUCAUGUAUCCAAUGCUCUGUCUGAAUUUUAUAACAAUUGUUAAAA